UUCUGACCGGUGCAAAGGUAGCGUAAUCACUCGCCCCUUAAAUAGGGACUUGUAUCAACGGCAUCACGAGAGUUAUACUGUCUCCUCUUUCUAAUCAGUGAAACUGAUCUCCCCGUGAAAAAGCGGGCAUAAAAAUAUAAGACGAGAAGACCCCAUGGAGCUUUAAACCAAAAGCAAAUUAAAUUUAAACACCACAUCAACCCUUUGUAUUAUGCAUAUCGGUUUUAGGUUGGGGCAACCGCGGAGAAAAAUUUAACCUCCACAACGAAAAGACCUAAGUCUUCAUCUCAGAGCUACCGCUCUAAGAACUAGAACACUAACGGAAAAUGAUCCGAUUUAUUAUAGUUGAUCAACGAACCAAGUUACCCUGGGGAUAACAGCGCAAUCCACUUUGAGAGUUCCUAUUGACAAGUGGGCUUACGACCUCGAUGUUGGAUCAGGGUAUCCAAGUGGUGCAGCCGCUACUAAAGGUUCGUUUGUUCAACGAUUAAAACCUUACGUGAUCUGAGUUCAGAACCGGGAGAAGA
rnacentral:rRNA from 1 species